AUGAUCUGUGUUAUAUCCUUGAGAUCUAUUCAUAGAACAUAUCUUAUUGUUAAUGACGUCGGUGACGUUCAUGACGUUGUCGUCACGGUGAUUUAGAAUAUAUAUAUAUAUAUACAGAGUCCAAGAGAGUGAGCAUUAAAGUAUUGAAAUAGAGAGCAGUCUUAGUGAGUGAGUCUUUUACAUUGGCGACGAGAGAAAAAAUUGCAUGACUGAUGCAGCUGUUAUUGCGCGCAUAAUACGGAAUUGAGAUAUGGCGAACGGCAAUAGAAGGCUUGAUUUGCAACCGUUUCGGAUGGACUGCAGCGACCACAUAGCAACGGGCCAGGCAUGGUGUGAAUGGCUUGAGGACUUUGAAAGGCAAGACAGAUACUUCAAAAUCACUGAAGAUGAUGUUAAAACGGACGCUUUACUUAUCUACGGCGGACCAGAGGUAAAAAGGCUAAGAAGACGUUUAAAGGAUCCGGAGUCCAUUUGUUAUUAUUAGUUUUAACAAUCACGAGUCAGUGAGAAGCAGAGAGGCAAACAGACUGGUGUACAAGCCAAAACCACAUUUGGGCUUAAAAAGAUCCACUCUACACUGAUUUAGUAACUGUGUUUCAUUCUGAUUAUUUUAUUAUGAACGCUUAUGAUUGUUUAAUCAUUGAAUACGAAAUCUUUGAAAUAAACUGUGUUAAUUUAU